rnacentral:ribozyme from 1 species
CAUCUACAGCUUUGAAGAAAGAAAGAAAAAAAAAAAAAAAGAAGAAGAAGAAAAAAAAAAAAAUGGUGUCCCCAUUCUCUCGUUGCCAUCGUCGUCUUGGUUUUCCUUUGCUGCUUUCUGCUCAACACCUCUCCUGUGUUCAUCGAUCUGUACAGAAACA